rnacentral:rRNA from 1 species
UACAGAGGGGGCAAGCGUUGUUCGGAAUUACUGGGCGUAAAGGGCGCGUAGGCGGUCAGCACAAGUCAGCUGUGAAAUCUCUGGGCUUAACCCAGAACGGCCAGCUGAUACUGCUUUGCUAGAGUGCAGAAGGGGCAAUCGGAAUUCUUGGUGUAGCGGUGAAAUGCGUAGAUAUCAAGAGGAACACCUGAGGUGAAGACGGGUUGCUGGGCUGACACUGACGCUGAUGCGCGAAAGCUAGGGGAGCGAACGGG